CAUGGAGGCACAGUGCCAUUGUGACUGGCGCCUGAUUGAGUGCGGGAGGUAGUUGAGGGAAAGGUGGGAGAUACAGCAGAAACCGGGAGAAAAAUGAAGUCGGUUUGAACUGGGACGUUGUAUGGCCAACUCGAUGAGACCGCUCGACCCGAUUUAGAAACUUCCGGUCCCGCGUUUGAAGCAAACGAGAAAUUGGCUGUGGGCCUCAAGCGGAGAUAGGACCUGGGUUACUACUGCCAUCUUUACUGCGGGCAAGGUGCAGCAGCGCGAAUGCGCAUGCUUCUUCCUGGGAGGCGUUCGGGGCGAUUUGCAGAGGAGCAUUCCAUCAGCGAACUGAAACCAAGUUCCAGCAGGCUUUCAAGUGGAACAAUCCAGAAACUUGAUUCUGAAGAUAUAAGUGCUGAAUUGAAAGAUGAGAUGCUGUUCCCUGAUCUCCCAUUGAGCUACAUUGAAUCAGUACAGGAGGCUGAGCACACAGUGCCCUCAGAAACAUUCCUGUGCUGUUUCUCUCAGACGCAAAGCGCUGUGAUGUGUUCUUCCUAGCUGGCAGUGAUUGGCCUGAUGCACAGACCGACUUUAAAUAUGGAGCUGGGGGCAGAAAUCCCAGAUGAUCCUGGCAGCAAGAAACUCCUCCAUCACUGGUGAUAUUUGCACGUCGGAAGUGAAACGUCAACUGUGACUGAUUCUGGCCGUUCUAUGUCUUAAAUGAGUAAACUAAAAAUAAAGUCACAUUUCAUGGUUACACAAUCCCAGGAAAUGGCCAUUUCCUGAGCAGGGAUAUUGACGUAGGCUAUGGGAGAAAACACUGGGAAGUGGGAAAUGUGUCUGUUGUGCCAAUGAACUGAAGUGAAAUCCUGGGUAAGGUGAUAAUGGGAGAUAGAAGAGGACGUUAAUAACAGCAAAUUGAAACCAAUGGGUUUGUUUUUCUUCACUGAAUUGCUAUCGUGAACUGACAGUGAUGGCUGUUACAGAAUAUGACAUGGGGAUUUGCUGACAAAAACUGAAACCAACUUUCACAUGUCAAUCUGACAGUAUCACUUGCUUCAUUGGCCUUUGAUUUGCAUUCGGGCAAUUCAAACCAGAUAUCCCAUCAGGAUGUAACAGAGUCACCCAAUUUGUGUUAACCUGAAUAUCCUUGGAUUAUGAACAUGAAAGGAAACAGCGUCAUUCUCAUUUGGGACAAAUUGUUCACGUGUUCUCUGUGUGGAAAAGGCUUUACUGAUUCAUUCUACUUGCUGGCACACGAUCUAGUUCACGCUGGGGAGUAACCGUUCAACUGCUCCCAGUGUGGGAAGGGAUUCAAUCAGUCAUCCGACCUCCUGAAACACCAGCAAGUUCAGCUCCGUGUGUGGGAAAGGUUUUGCUUGGUCAUCCAGCCCGCUGAGACAUCAACACAGUCACACUCGAGAGAAACUAUUUAUCUGCUCUGAGCAUGGAAAAGCAUUCAAUCACACAUCUAAACUUCUGAAACACCAGCACAUUCAUUCUGGGGAGAAACCAUUCAACUGCUCAGACUGUGGGAAAUGAUUCACUAAGUCAUCCAACCUGCUGAGACACCAGCGAGUUCACACUGGGGAGAGUCCGUUCACCUGCUCUAUGUGUGGGAAGAGAUUCACGCAGUCAACACAUCUGCUACAACACCAGCGAGUUCACACUGGGGAGAAACUGUUCACUUGCUGCGUGUGUGGGAAGGGAUUCACUCAGACAUCCAUCCUGUUAACACACCAACAAAUUCACAAAGAACCAUAGUUUGGAAAAAAAAAGUAGUUCUUACUUACACUGAGGAAUGAAACAAGGUAAUUGGACUGUUUGUAAACCCACUCUAUUAAAGGUGCUGAUAUUGUGGAUAAAAUGUCAGUACAUUUUUUUUU